rnacentral:tRNA from 2 species
GGGCGGUUAGCUCAGCUGGUUAGAGCACCUGCCUUACAAGCAGGGGGUCACUGGUUCGAAUCCAGUACUGCCCA